CGAAAGCCUGACGGAGCAAGACCGCGUGAGGGAGGAAGGCUCUUGGGUUGUAAACCUCUUUUCUCAGGGAAGAAGCUCUGACGGUACCUGAGGAAUCAGCCUCGGCUAACUCCGUGCCAGCAGCCGCGGUAAUACGGAGGAUGCAAGCGUUAUCCGGAAUCAUUGGGCGUAAAGCGUCCGCAGGUGGCGAAUCAAGUCUGCUGUUAAAGACAGAAGCUCAACUUCUGAACAGCGGUGGAAACUGGUUUGCUAGAGUAUGGUAGGGGUUGAGGGAAUUCCCAGUGUAGCGGUGAAAUGCGUAGAUAUUGGGAAGAACACCAGUGGCGAAGGCGCUCAACUGGGCCAUAACUGACACUCAGGGACGAAAGCUAGGGUAGCG
rnacentral:rRNA from 1 species